rnacentral:sRNA from 1 species
CUUCCUCCACCUGCUGCGGGCAGAUGAAGUGGAUGUGAGAAUCGAAGCCGCCGGCGGUGAGGAUCUUUCCCUCGCCCGCGAUGAUUUCCGUGCCGGGGCCGAUCACGAUCGUCACGUCCGGCUGCACGUCGGGAUUGCCGGCCUUGCCCACCGCGACGAUGCGGCCGUUCUUCAGGCCGACAUCCGCCUUGACGAUCCCCCAGUGGUCGAGGAUCACCGCGUUGGUGAUCACGGUGUCGACGGCGCCGUCGCGGUUCGUCACCUGGCUCUGGCCCAUGCCGUCGCGGAU